GGGGUAUAGCUCAGCUGGGAGAGCACCUGCCUUACAAGCAGGGGGUCACAGGUUCGAGCCCUGUUGUCCCC
rnacentral:tRNA from 1 species